rnacentral:misc_RNA from 1 species
UAGAAAUAAUCAACUAGUUUAUAAUUCAAUUUGUAAUAUUUCUGUCAAGAGUCCCACAUUGAAAAAGAAUAAGGAAUUCAAAGUACUUAUAAUGGUAGAAGGCUAGCUAAAUAAUUGGUUUGUUCUAAACUUUUAGCAAUGAUCUGGUCCGAUUCAUUUCAGGUGUUAAGGUUUUCAGUGUUGUCGCUACAUCAAAAUUCAAGGUUUCAAGUAGGAGGAUUUCAAGUUUCAAGUGUCAA